rnacentral:rRNA from 1 species
GCCCCUGACCGGGGUUGCGGACAGUGUCUGGUGGGUAGUUUGACUGGGGCGGUCUCCUCCCAAAGCGUAACGGAGGAGCACGAAGGUUAGCUAAUCCUGGUCGGACAUCAGGAGGUUAGUGCAAUGGCAUAAGCUAGCUUGACUGCGAGCGUGACGGCGCGAGCAGGUGCGAAAGCAGGUCAUAGUGAUCCGGUGGUUCUGAAUGGAAGGGCCAUCGCUCAACGGAUAAAAGGUACUCCGGGGAUAACAGGCUGAUACCGCCCAAGAGUUCAUAUCGACGGCGGUGUUUGGCACCUCGAUGUCGGCUCAUCACAUCCUGGGGCUGAAGUAGGUCCCAAGGGUAUGGCUGUUCGCCAUUUAAAGUGGUACGCGAGCUGGGUUUAGAACGUCGUGAGACAGUUCGGUCCCUAUCUGCCGUGGGCGCUGGAGAAUUGAGGGGGGCUGCUCCUAGUACGAGAGGACCGGAGUGGACGCAUCACUGGUGUUCGGGUUGUCAUGCCAAUGGCACUGCCCGGUAGCUAAAUGCGGAAGAGAUAAGUGCUGAAAGCAUCUAAGCACGAAACUUGCCCCG